GAGAGUGAGAAUCAGACUAGGAGCUUGUUGUAGCUGGAUGUCUAAAAAACAUAUUGUAAUUUUGAGAACAUAAACUUAUAUUCUUUGUUUCCUACAGCAAAAGAAUCAGAACUAUUUGAAGAAGCUUUUUAGAGUUUAAGACCUGAAUCCUCAGUGAACAAGAGCAGAAUGAUUGGAUCCUGCAGUGUUUUCCUAGUGAUCCUGUGGCUUCAGUUCAUCUGGGUGAGCAGCCAGCAGAAGGAGGUAGAGCAGAGUCCUGAGACUCUCAGUGUUUCAGAGGGAGACAGCGUUGAUCUCAACUGCACUUACAGUGACAGGAAUUUUCAAACCUUUAUUUGGUACCAACAGCAUCCUGGAAAACGUCCUGAGUUUCUGAUGUCUUUGUUCUCCAGUGGUGACAGAAAGGAAGGAAGAUUCACAGCACAGCUCAGCACAGCCAGCCGGCAUUUCUCCUUGCACGUCACAGGCUCCCAGCACCAUGACUCGGCUGCCUACUUCUGUGCAAUGAGCACACAGUGCUCCACAGGCAGCUGCAGCCUGCACCAGAACCACAGGGGCCUGCGCAGCCCUGAGGCAGAGCAGAGAGCACAGGGCAGAGGGUUUCUGUGUCUGCUCCAGAUGCAGAGGGGAUUAAGACCAACAGUAGAGACUAGGAGAGUGUCUAAUAAUUCUGAAAAUAAAUGACCAUGGAAGGGAA